rnacentral:tRNA from 1 species
GCGGGAGUAGCUCAGUUGGUAGAGCGUUGGCUUCCCAAGCCGAAGGUCGCGGGUUCGAACCCCGUUUCCCGCU